GACCCCAGGUCAGGUGGGAUCACCCGCUGAGUUUAAGCAUAUCA
rnacentral:rRNA from 1 species